rnacentral:rRNA from 1 species
GACGAACGCUGGCGGCGUGCUUAACACAUGCAAGUCGAACGGAAAGGCCCUGCUUUUGUGGGGUGCUCGAGUGGCGAACGGGUGAGUAACACGUGAGUAACCUGCCCUUGACUUUGGGAUAACUUCAGGAAACUGGGGCUAAUACCGGAUAGGAGCUCCUGCUGCAUGGUGGGGGUUGGAAAGUUUCGGCGGUUGGGGAUGGACUCGCGGCUUAUCAGCUUGUUGGUGGGGUAGUGGCUUACCAAGGCUUUGACGGGUAGCCGGCCUGAGAGGGUGACCGGCCACAUUGGGACUGCGAUACGGCCCAGACUCCUACGGUAGGCAGAAGUGGGGAAUAUUGCACAAUGGGCGGAAGCCUGAUGCAGCAACGCCGCGUGCGGGAUGACGGCCUUCGGGUUGUAAACCGCUUUCGCCUGUGACGAAGCGUGAGUGACGGUAAUGGGUAAAGAAGCACCGGCUAACUACGUG